rnacentral:rRNA from 1 species
AGGCAGCAGUUGGGAAUGUUGGGCAAUGGAGGCAACUCUGACCCAGCCAUGCCGCGUGCAGGAUGAAGGCGCUCAGCGUUGUAAACUGCUUUUAUCUAGGAAGAACGGCUGAUUUGCGAAUCAGUGUGACGGUACUAGAGGAAUAAGCACCGGCUAACUCCGUGCCAGCAGCCGCGGUAAUACGGAGGGUGCAGGCGUUGUCCGGAUUUAUUGGGUUUAAAGGGUGCGUAGGUGGUCCUGUAAGUCUGGUUUGAAAGCUGGUGGCUUAACCAUCAGACGUGGCUGGAAACUGUGGGACUUGAAUGGGUUGGCGGUAGCUGGAACGGGUCAUGUAGCGGUGAGAUGCAUAGAUAUGACCCAGAACCCCGAUUGCGAAGACAGGCUACUACGACUUGAUUGGCACUGAGGCACGAGAGCAUGGGGAGCCAACAGGAUUAGAUACCCGAGUAGUCC